GAAAAAAUAUAUAAGUUAAAAAAAUAAAUAUCUGGGGUACGUGGGUCGCUCAGUCAGCUGCGCAACCGACUUAGGCUCAGGUCAUGAUCUCACCGUUGGUGAGUUCAAGCCCUGCAUCGGGCUCUGUGCUGACAGCUCAGAACCUGGAGCCUGCUUCGGAAU